rnacentral:tRNA from 1 species
GCCGCGGUGGCGGAACUGGUAGACGCGUAGGUCUCAAAAACCUAUGAGAGCAAUCUCAUGGGGGUUCGAUUCCCCCCUGCGGCA